rnacentral:rRNA from 1 species
AAGAAAGAACCAACAGGGAUUGCCUCAGUAACGGCGAGUGAAGCGGCAACAGCUCAAAUUUGAAAUCUGGCUCCCCUGGGGGCCCGAGUUGUAAUUUGUAGAGGAUGCUUCGGCGUGGGCCCCGGUCUAAGUUCCUUGGAACAGGACGUCACAGAGGGUGAGAAUCCCGUACGUGGCCGUGGGUGCUCGCCAUGUGAAGCUCCUUCGACGAGUCGAGUUGUUUGGGAAUGCAGCUCUAAAUGGGAGGUAAAUUUCUUCUAAAGCUAAAUACUGGCCAGAGACCGAUAGCGCACAAGUAGAGUGAUCGAAAGAUGAAAAGCACUUUGGAAAGAGAGUCAAAAAGUACGUGAAAUUGUUGAAAGGGAAGCGCUUGCAACCAGACCUGCCUGCGGUUGCUCAUCCGGGCUCCUGCCCGGUGCACUCUUCCGCAGUCAGGCCAGCAUCAGCUCUGGCGGUCGGAUAAAGGCGGCGGGAAUGUGGCUCCCCUCGGGGAGUGUUAUAGCCCGCCGUGCAAUGCGGCCAGCCGGGACUGAGGUCCGCGCUUCGGCUAGGAUGCUGGCGUAAUGGUUGUAAGCGGCCCGUCUUGAAACACGGACCAAGGAGUCUAACAUCUGUGCGAGUGUUUGGGUGUCAAGCCCAGGCGCGUAAUGAAAGUGAACGGAGGCGGGAACCUUCGGGUGCACCGUCGACCGAUCCUGAUGUCUUCGGAUGGAUUUGAGUAAGAGCAUAGCUGUUGGGACCCGAAAGAUGGUGAACUAUGCCUGAAUAGGGUGAAGCCAGAGGAAACUCUGGUGGAGGCUCGCAGCGGUUCUGACGUGCAAAUCGAUCGUCAAAUUUGGGCAUAGGGGCGAAAGACUAAUCGAAYAUCUAUAUGCCGCCCCCCCCCCCCCUCCUCCCCCCCCCCCCAGAG